CCUACGGGGGGCAGCAGUGAGGAAUAUUGGUCAAUGGGCGCGAGCCUGAACCAGCCAAGUAGCGUGAAGGAUGACUGCCCUACGGGUUGUAAACUUCUUUUAUAAAGGAAUAAAGUGAGGCACGUGUGCCUUUUUGUAUGUACUUUUUAAUUAAGAAUCGGCUAAAUCCGUACCAGCAGCCGCGGUAAUCCGGGGGAUCCGAGCGUUAUCCGGAUUUAUUGGGUUUAAAGGGAGCGUAGAUGGGUUGUUAAGUAAGUUGUGAAAGUUUGCGGCUCAACCGUAAAAUUGCAAUUGAUACUGGCAGUCUGGAGUACAGUUGAGGUAGGCGGAAUUCGUGGUGUAGCGGUGAAAUGCAUAGAUAUCACACAGAACACCGAUUGCGAAGGCAUCUCACGAAUCCGCGAUUGACGCUGAUGCACGAAAGCGUGGGUAUCAAACAGGAUUAGAUACCCCGGUAGUC
rnacentral:rRNA from 1 species